AAAACUUCCAAAGCCUUUAGAGGAAGAGAGAAAUUUGGCCUGCUGCUGUUCGAAUUACUGCUCCGCUGGUUUGCCAAAAGGACAUCAUGAGUUCUUUUUACUCACUUCCUAUCUAGUCUAAUCUGCCAAGCGGGGAUUCAGAGCUAAACUCAUCCACCAACCAGAAACCAUAAUCACGGAAACGUUUUGUCUUCUUCUCAAAACCAACAACAUAGUUGUUAUGAAUAAUAACAUGCAUUCCCUUGGUUUCCUUCACCCAGGUCUUGUUUCUAAAGUAUAGACCACCUGUUGGGAAUCCUGACUGCGGAAGCAGAUACAUGUCAACCUGUUCAACAGUUUUGUUCAAUGCCCAGUUGAAAGCAGGCUGGUCAUUAGAUUUCUUUGCUCUGGACCAUGGUUGAAUCUGCAUUUCCUCAAUCCACUUUUUCAUAAUGAGUUUUGCUCCAUUAGUGGGUCGCGCAUAGAUCAUGCAGCUACAGAUGUAAGGCCGGCCCUUCUUCCCUGGAGGUGGCAAACCAUGAGAGUGAUUCAGAGGUUUU
rnacentral:misc_RNA from 1 species